rnacentral:rRNA from 1 species
ACCUGCGGAAGGAUCAUUAUUGAAAUAAAACUGAUGAGUUGUUGCUGGUUCUCUAGGGAGCAUGUGCACGCUUGUCAUAGUUAUAUCUCCACUUGUGCACCUUUUGUAGACCUGGAUAUUUCUCUGAGUGCUAGUCACUCAGGUUUGAGGAUUGACUUUAUGUCUCUCCUUACAUUUUCAGGCCUAUGUUUCUUCAUAUACCCUAAUGUAUGUCAUAGAAUGUAAUCAAUAGGCCUUUGUGCCUAUAAACCUAUACAACUUUCAGCAACGGAUCUCUUGGCUCUCGCAUCGAUGAAGAACGCAGCGAAAUGCGAUAAGUAAUGUGAAUUGCAGAAUUCAGUGAAUCAUCGAAUCUUUGAACGCACCUUGCGCUCCUUGGUAUUCCGAGGAGCAUGCCUGUUUGAGUGUCAUUAAUAAUAUAUCAAUCUCUUCAGCUUUUGGUUGUUGAGUGUUGGAUGUGGGGGUCAUUUUUUUUUUGCUGGUCUUCUCAAAGGUCAGCUCCCCUGAAAUGCAUUAGCGGAACAAUUUGUGGACCGUUCAUUGGUGUGAUAACUAUCUACGCUAUUGACGUGAAACAGUUCAGCUUCUAACAGUCUAUGAAUGGACAAAUUUCAUUA